rnacentral:misc_RNA from 1 species
AAGAGUUAGGGUCUUCUCGGCCCGACCUCCCAACCCUUUGUUUACUUAACCAGUGUUGCUUCGGCGGGCCCGUCUUCGGGCCGCCGGGGGACGGUCAUACGUCCUCUGGCCCGCGCCCGCCGAUAGCCCCAACCACAAAACUCUUGAAUAAAUCGUGUCAUUGUCUGAGUAAAAAUUUAAUUAAAAGCA